rnacentral:lncRNA from 10 species
GCUACCUGCUUCUGCAGCAUAGUAGGUGGAUUUUCAGACACAAAAUUUACCUCUAAGGCCUUGAGAUUUACUGCAAUGACAAAUCUCUAAAUGGUAUUGACAUUCUAGGAUAUCAUGAACAGUACAUUACUAUGAGGAAAAUCAACAGAGAUGCCACUUAUCCGACAAACAUCUCCCAAGCCCUGGCUAUGAAAAAAAUCACUGGAGUUGGGAGACAAUCUGCUGUCUUUCAGCUGUGCUUGCUCAAUUCUGCAUCAUUCUGGGAGCCCUGGUGUCACAGCAGUGAACAGGCAGGGUUCAGUGGAGAUGAGACUGUGCCAACCUGGCCUCCUCUGCAGCAUACAAAUAAGUGCCCUUAUGAAAGAUUAAUAAUGCAGAGCACACCAAGGUAGACGGCUUGGCACAGCGCUGAAUGCACAUGAACAGAAGCAGCCAGGACUCGCCAACCCAAAUGUGUCUGCACAGUCUGACUGUCUACAAGUGUGCUUGGCCUCCUAAUUGCCAGUCUCCUUUCCCAUCACCCUCAAGGGCUUCAUGAAUAAAGAUGAAGGACAAGCACUUUCUGCUUCCCUUUAGUACCUCAGCAGGUGCACACUUAAUAAACUUUUUUAUCUCUUUGGGUACAAAUGACCUCAGAGAUUCUGCAAACCCAAAACUGUCAUCAUUUUUUCUCUUUUUGUCUACAAAAAUAUGCCCAAGUUACUGAGGAAGAGGAGAAGGGAAUGCAUGGAUGACAACAGUAAAAGAAACAAACUAAUCUCAAAUGCAGAAUGUCCACGCAGAAAAUAUCCACCCACUGUGACAAAUAUGCCUUACUCCUUAGCAAUCCAUCUGCUACACUUACCAAAGAAAAGCCACCAAAUUCAAAAAUGCUAAAAAGUGUUAGCAUGUGAUAAGGAGUCCCUAGUGUCUCCAUGAAAGAUGUACAAACAUCUUUGGAAAGAGAAAUGUGGAUUGUAUUAAUUUGACGGUCAUCUGAAAGGAUGGCUGGCCCCAAACCCAAGGGCUGAAUGCAGCCUAUGGAAGCUCUACAGGCAGCCAUCAGGGAACACAUCAAGAGAGAAAACUGACUUUACAGAGCUUUUUCACAUAGGGAUUUACAAUCAGAUUUCAACCUUCAACAGACCCACAAUAGUAUUACAAUAUAAAGCCACAAAUGUGUGAGUGAGCCAGCCAGCAACUGAACACAUUUUUAAAGUCACAAUGAUCUAAAAGUGGAUUUGUUUUUACAUGUGGCAGCUACUUUCACUCCACAGUCAGUAGCACCUAACUGGCAUUUGCUAAAUUUGUAGAAUGAAUGGGUGAAUUAACAGUGAUAAAUUAUGGAUCUUGCCACUGACAGGGUUUUGCUUCCCAAAAUGUUCACUGCCUCUUUCUUUCAAGCAGUUGGAAUGGCUUCCUAUGAUGCAUAUACCAAAAUUCAUGGUAAACUAUAAAUAAGAGGGCAAAGCAUGAAAUUCAAGGGAAAUACAAACUAAAGCAGAAAGACAAAGCAAGGCGAAGACAAAAAUACAGAUACAUUGGAUUCAGUUCAUGAUGACCCAUCGAGUUUCUUCCAAGCUUCCUGAGAGUCAAAAGAAAGAGAAAACUUUAUUCAGCAACACAUACAUGUGUGUUACCAGAGAGGAUACAAUAUCCCAGUUCCACAGAAAAACCAAGUUCUAAAUUAGGACUGGUAUUACAAAAAAAAUUUAUGUGUGGUUUUACAGAGGGGAUGCCUUGUCCUGCUGUUACACUAAUAUGUCUGGACUGCUCCUGCCUCCGGCCUUUGUAGCUACUGUUCUGUUGCCUGGAAUGUUCUGUUCCCUGUAAUUCACACAACUCACUCCCUCACUGCCUCAAGUCCUAGCUCAAAUGUCCUUGUUUCAAUAGGACCUUUCCCAACAAUCCCACUUAAAAUUGCUAACCUCCAUUCUCAUCCCUGCACUCCUGCCCCCUUUUUUCCGGCUUAUUUUUCUGCAUAGCAUCUACCAUCAUUUUAACAUACCACAUAUUUAUUUUGUUUAUUGGCUUACCACCAGCUAGAAUGUAGGUUCCCCCAGACCAGAAUUUUCCUCUGUUUUGUUCAUUGCUGUACCCUAGGGCCUAUACCAGUAUCUGCAAGUUUAUUGAAUGAAUGGAUAAACGGACAAUAGUCUAAACAAUAUUAUUAUGACAAGUGCAAUAGUUUCCCAUGGUGAAGUAAUUCCAGUGGAUAAGAUAAUGUGAUCCUGUUAUAUGAACAUCUAGUGAUGUGGCUUGAUCCUAGGUCAGAUGUAAACCACCUAGAAUGACUCUUAAUCAUAUCUGGUCACAGAUUCCUUUGAGACUUAGGAAAGAGAUAAACCUUCUAAUACAGUUGCUAUGGUUUGAAUGUUUGUGUCUCCUCCAAAAUUCGUAUGUUGAAACUUAAUCACCAGUAUGAUAGUAAUAAGACGUGAGGCCGUCCCAGACACUGAAACUGCCAGCACCUUGAUCUUGGACUUCCAGCCUCCAGAACUGUGAUAAAUAAGUUUCCAUUUUGUGUAAAUUACCCAGUCACAGGUAUUUUGUUAUAGCAGAACAAACAGACUAAAACAGCAGUGUUAUACAAUAAAAAUAUAAUGUGAGUUGUAUAUCAUGGUAAAUUUUCAAGAAGCCGCAUUUAAAAAGCUA